rnacentral:hammerhead_ribozyme from 1 species
UCAUUGCUGAAGAGUCCCAAAAUAGGACGAAACGGCCGUCCAGUGC